rnacentral:rRNA from 1 species
UUCCUACGGGACGCAGCAGUAGGGAAUCUUCCACAAUGGGCGAAAGCCUGAUGGAGCAACGCCGCGUGGGUGAAGAAGGUCUUCGGAUCGUAAAACCCUGUUGUUAGAGAAGAAAGUGCGUGAGAGCAACUGUUCACGUUUCGACGGUAUCUAACCAGAAAGCCACGGCUAACUACGUGCCAGCAGCCGCGGUAAUACGUAGGUGGCAAGCGUUAUCCGGAUUUAUUGGGCGUAAAGGGAACGCAGGCGGUCUUUUAAGUCUGAUGUUAAGACCUUCGGCUUAACCGGAGUAGUGCACUGGAAAU